UACGUAGGGUGCAAGCGUUGUCCGGAAUUAUUGGGCGUAAAGAGCUCGUAGGCGGUUUGUCGCGAUCUGCCGUGAAAGUCCGGGGCUCAACUCCGGAUCUGCGGUGGGUACGGGCAGACUAGAGUGAUGUAGGGGAGACUGGAAUUCCUGGUGUAGCGGUGAAAUGCGCAGAUAUCAGGAGGAACACCGAUGGCGAAGGCAGGUCUCUGGGCAUUAACUGACGCUGAGGAGCGAAAGCAUGGGGAGCGAACAGG
rnacentral:rRNA from 1 species